rnacentral:rRNA from 1 species
GAGAGUUUGAUCCUGGCUCAGAUUGAACGCUGGCGGCAGGCCUAACACAUGCAAGUCGAGCGGAUGAAGGGAGCUUGCUCCUGGAUUCAGCGGCGGACGGGUGAGUAAUGCCUAGGAAUCUGCCUGGUAGUGGGGGAUAACGUCCGGAAACGGGCGCUAAUACCGCAUACGUCCUGAGGGAGAAAGUGGGGGAUCUUCGGACCUCACGCUAUCAGAUGAGCCUAGGUCGGAUUAGCUAGUUGGUGGGGUAAAGGCCUACCAAGGCGACGAUCCGUAACUGGUCUGAGAGGAUGAUCAGUCACACUGGAACUGAGACACGGUCCAGACUCCUACGGGAGGCAGCAGUGGGGAAUAUUGGACAAUGGGCGAAAGCCUGAUCCAGCCAUGCCGCGUGUGUGAAGAAGGUCUUCGGAUUGUAAAGCACUUUAAGUUGGGAGGAAGGGCAGUAAGUUAAUACCUUGCUGUUUUGACGUUACCAACAGAAUAAGCACCGGCUAACUUCGUGCCAGCAGCCGCGGUAAUACGAAGGGUGCAAGCGUUAAUCGGAAUUACUGGGCGUAAAGCGCGCGUAGGUGGUUCAGCAAGUUGGAUGUGAAAUCCCCGGGCUCAACCUGGGAACUGCAUCCAAAACUACUGAGCUAGAGUACGGUAGAGGGUGGUGGAAUUUCCUGUGUAGCGGUGAAAUGCGUAGAUAUAGGAAGGAACACCAGUGGCGAAGGCGACCACCUGGACUGAUACUGACACUGAGGUGCGAAAGCGUGGGGAGCAAACAGGAUUAGAUACCCUGGUAGUCCACGCCGUAAACGAUGUCGACUAGCCGUUGGGAUCCUUGAGAUCUUAGUGGCGCAGCUAACGCGAUAAGUCGACCGCCUGGGGGAGUACGGCCGCAAGGUUAAAACUCAAAGGAAUUGACGGC